rnacentral:rRNA from 1 species
GUCUUUCUUGAUUUGGUGGGUGGUGGUGCAUGGCCGUUUUUAGUUGGUGGAGCGAUUUGUCUGGUUAAUUCCGAUAACGAACGAGACUCUAGCCUGCUAACUA